UUAAGCGACUAAGCGUACACGGUGGAUGCCCUGGCAGUCAGAGGCGAUGAAGGACGUGCUAAUCUGCGAUAAGCGUCGGUAAGGUGAUAUGAACCGUUAUAACCGGCGAUUUCCGAAUGGGGAAACCCAGUGUGUUUCGACACACUAUCAUUAACUGAAUCCAUAGGUUAAUGAGGCGAACCGGGGGAACUGAAACAUCUAAGUACCCCGAGGAAAAGAAAUCAACCGAGAUUCCCCCAGUAGCGGCGAGCGAACGGGGAGCAGCCCAGAGCCUGAAUCAGUGUGUGUGUUAGUGGAAGCGUCUGGAAAGGCGCGCGAUACAGGGUGACAGCCCCGUACACAAAAAUGCACAUACUGUGAGCUCGAUGAGUAGGGCGGGACACGUGGUAUCCUGUCUGAAUAUGGGGGGACCAUCCUCCAAGGCUAAAUACUCCUGACUGACCGAUAGUGAACCAGUACCGUGAGGGAAAGGCGAAAAGAACCCCGGCGAGGGGAGUGAAAAAGAACCUGAAACCGUGUACGUACAAGCAGUGGGAGCACGCUUAGGCGUGUGACUGCGUACCUUUUGUAUAAUGGGUCAGCGACUUAUAUUCUGUAGCAAGGUUAACCGAAUAGGGGAGCCGAAGGGAAACCGAGUCUUAACUGGGCGUUAAGUUGCAGGGUAUAGACCCGAAACCCGGUGAUCUAGCCAUGGGCAGGUUGAAGGUUGGGUAACACUAACUGGAGGACCGAACCGACUAAUGUUGAAAAAUUAGCGGAUGACUUGUGGCUGGGGGUGAAAGGCCAAUCAAACCGGGAGAUAGCUGGUUCUCCCCGAAAGCUAUUUAGGUAGCGCCUCGUGAAUUCAUCUCCGGGGGUAGAGCACUGUUUCGGCAAGGGGGUCAUCCCGACUUACCAACCCGAUGCAAACUGCGAAUACCGGAGAAUGUUAUCACGGGAGACACACGGCGGGUGCUAACGUCCGUCGUGAAGAGGGAAACAACCCAGACCGCCAGCUAAGGUCCCAAAGUCAUGGUUAAGUGGGAAACGAUGUGGGAAGGCCCAGACAGCCAGGAUGUUGGCUUAGAAGCAGCCAUCAUUUAAAGAAAGCGUAAUAGCUCACUGGUCGAGUCGGCCUGCGCGGAAGAUGUAACGGGGCUAAACCAUGCACCGAAGCUGCGGCAGCGACACUAUGUGUUGUUGGGUAGGGGAGCGUUCUGUAAGCCUGUGAAGGUGUACUGUGAGGUAUGCUGGAGGUAUCAGAAGUGCGAAUGCUGACAUAAGUAACGAUAAAGCGGGUGAAAAGCCCGCUCGCCGGAAGACCAAGGGUUCCUGUCCAACGUUAAUCGGGGCAGGGUGAGUCGACCCCUAAGGCGAGGCCGAAAGGCGUAGUCGAUGGGAAACAGGUUAAUAUUCCUGUACUUGGUGUUACUGCGAAGGGGGGACGGAGAAGGCUAUGUUGGCCGGGCGACGGUUGUCCCGGUUUAAGCGUGUAGGCUGGUUUUCCAGGCAAAUCCGGAAAAUCAAGGCUGAGGCGUGAUGACGAGGUACUACGGUGCUGAAGCAACAAAUGCCCUGCUUCCAGGAAAAGCCUCUAAGCAUCAGGUAACAUCAAAUCGUACCCCAAACCGACACAGGUGGUCAGGUAGAGAAUACCAAGGCGCUUGAGAGAACUCGGGUGAAGGAACUAGGCAAAAUGGUGCCGUAACUUCGGGAGAAGGCACGCUGAUAUGUAGGUGAAGUCCCUCGCGGAUGGAGCUGAAAUCAGUCGAAGAUACCAGCUGGCUGCAACUGUUUAUUAAAAACACAGCACUGUGCAAACACGAAAGUGGACGUAUACGGUGUGACGCCUGCCCGGUGCCGGAAGGUUAAUUGAUGGGGUUAGCGCAAGCGAAGCUCUUGAUCGAAGCCCCGGUAAACGGCGGCCGUAACUAUAACGGUCCUAAGGUAGCGAAAUUCCUUGUCGGGUAAGUUCCGACCUGCACGAAUGGCGUAAUGAUGGCCAGGCUGUCUCCACCCGAGACUCAGUGAAAUUGAACUCGCUGUGAAGAUGCAGUGUACCCGCGGCAAGACGGAAAGACCCCGUGAACCUUUACUAUAGCUUGACACUGAACAUUGAGCCUUGAUGUGUAGGAUAGGUGGGAGGCUUUGAAGUGUGGACGCCAGUCUGCAUGGAGCCGACCUUGAAAUACCACCCUUUAAUGUUUGAUGUUCUAACGUUGACCCGUAAUCCGGGUUGCGGACAGUGUCUGGUGGGUAGUUUGACUGGGGCGGUCUCCUCCUAAAGAGUAACGGAGGAGCACGAAGGUUGGCUAAUCCUGGUCGGACAUCAGGAGGUUAGUGCAAUGGCAUAAGCCAGCUUGACUGCGAGCGUGACGGCGCGAGCAGGUGCGAAAGCAGGUCAUAGUGAUCCGGUGGUUCUGAAUGGAAGGGCCAUCGCUCAACGGAUAAAAGGUACUCCGGGGAUAACAGGCUGAUACCGCCCAAGAGUUCAUAUCGACGGCGGUGUUUGGCACCUCGAUGUCGGCUCAUCACAUCCUGGGGCUGAAGUAGGUCCCAAGGGUAUGGCUGUUCGCCAUUUAAAGUGGUACGCGAGCUGGGUUUAGAACGUCGUGAGACAGUUCGGUCCCUAUCUGCCGUGGGCGCUGGAGAACUGAGGGGGGCUGCUCCUAGUACGAGAGGACCGGAGUGGACGCAUCACUGGUGUUCGGGUUGUCAUGCCAAUGGCACUGCCCGGUAGCUAAAUGCGGAAGAGAUAAGUGCUGAAAGCAUCUAAGCACGAAACUUGCCCCGAGAUGAGUUCUCCCUGACCCUUUAAGGGUCCUGAAGGAACGUUGAAGACGACAACGUUGAUAGGCCGGGUGUGUAAGCGCAGCGAUGCGUUGAGCUAACCGGUACUAAUGAACCGUGAGGCUUAACCUU
rnacentral:rRNA from 1 species